GGCCCAGACUCCUACGGGAGGCAGCAGUGAGGAAUAUUGGUCAAUGGGCGAGAGCCUGAACCAGCCAAGUCGCGUGAAGGAUGACGGCCCUACGGGUUGUAAACUUCUUUUGUCAGGGAGCAAUUGAGUCCACGUGUAGGCUUAGCGAGAGUACCUGAAGAAAAAGCAUCGGCUAACUCCGUGCCAGCAGCCGCGGUAAUACGGAGGAUGCGAGCGUUAUCCGGAUUUAUUGGGUUUAAAGGGUGCGUAGGCGGAAUAUCAGGUCAGCGGUAAAAAUUCGGGGCUCAACCCCGUCGUGCCGUUGAAACUGGCGUUCUUGAGUGGGCGAGAAGUAUGCGGAAUGCGUGGUGUAGCGGUGAAAUGCAUAGAUAUCACGCAGAACUCCGAUUGCGAAGGCAGCGUACCGGCGCCCAACUGACGCUCAUGCACGAAAGCGUGGGUAUCGAACAGGAUUAGAUACCCUAGUA
rnacentral:rRNA from 1 species